rnacentral:lncRNA from 1 species
UAAUGACUUAGGGUCUCACUCAAAAAGACUAGCUAGAAGGUGUCAUUUAGAUUCUUUAGUUUUGUAUAAAUAUUCAAGAUCUUUCCCAUUAAUAUCAAUGUGAGACUACGUACAUGCCAUAUGAAUUAUCACAUACUCUUCCCAUUUAAGUCCUAGCAUUCUGAUAGACUAAGAGUCCAAAUCUAUUAAUUUACUUAUAAAUACCAUGAUUGGCCUGC